rnacentral:rRNA from 1 species
UACAGAGGGGGCAAGCGUUGUUCGGAAUUACUGGGCGUAAAGGGCGCGUAGGCGGCCUUCUAAGUCGAACGUGAAAUCCCUGGGCUCAACCCAGGAACUGCGUCCGAUACUGGAAGGCUUGAAUCCGGGAGAGGGAUGCGGAAUUCCAGGUGUAGCGGUGAAAUGCGCAGAUAUUGGGAAGAACACCAGUGGCGAAGGCGGUUCUCUGGGACGGUACUGACGCUGAGACGCGAAAGCGUGGGGAGCGAACAGG